GACGAGGGAUCCUAGCGUUGUCCGGAAUCACUGGGCGUAAAGGGCGCGUAGGCGGCUGGGUAAGCGUGUGGUGAAAGCCCGGGGCUCAACCCCGGGUCGGCCAUGCGAACUGCCCGGCUGGAGCACGGUAGAGGCACAUGGAAUUCCGGGUGUAGCGGUGGAACGCGUAGAGAUCCGGAAGAACACCGGUGGCGAAGGCGGUGUGCUGGGCCGUGGCUGACGCUGAGGCGCGACAGCGUGGGGAGCAAACAGGAUUAG
rnacentral:rRNA from 1 species